GACGAACGCUGGCGGCGUGCUUAACACAUGCAAGUCGAACGGAAAGGCCCUGCUUUUGUGGGGUGCUCGAGUGGCGAACGGGUGAGUAACACGUGAGUAACCUGCCCUUGACUUUGUGAUAUCUUCAGGAAACUGGGGCUAAUACCGGAUAGGAGCUCCUGCUGCAUGGUGGGGGUUGGAAAGUUUCGGCGGUUGGGGCUGGACUCGCGGCUUAUCAGCUUGUUGGUGAGGUAGUGGCUUACCAAGGGUUUGACGGAUAGCCGGCCUGAGAGGGUGACCGGCCACAAUGGGACUGAGAGACGGCGCAGACUCGUACGGGAGGCAGCAGGGGGAAGCAUGGCGCAGUAGGGGGAAGCGUGAGGCGGCAGCCCCGCGUGCGGAAUGACGUCCCUCGGGUGAUAAACCGCUUUCGCCUGUGACGAGGCGGGAGUGACGGUACUUGGUAAAGAAGCACCGGCUAACUACGUG
rnacentral:rRNA from 1 species